rnacentral:rRNA from 1 species
GCGGAGGAAAAGAAAAUAACAAUGAUUUCCCUAGUAACGGCGAGUGAAGAGGAAAGAGCUCAAAGUUGUAACCUAUUUGGCUUAGCCAAAUCGGAUUGUAGACUGGAGAAGUGUUUUAUGGCACACCGGGUAAAGAAGUCCCUUGGAACAGGGCAUCAUAGAGGGUGAGAAUCCCGUGACUUUGCCUGAGAAUAGUUGUCAACUUUAAUACGCUUUCAAAGAGUCAGGUUGUUUGGGAAUGCAGCCUAAAUUGGGUGGUAAAUCUCACCUAAAGCUAAAUAUUGGCGAGAGACCGAUAGCGAACAAGUACCGUGAGGGAAAGAUGAAAAGAACUUUGAAAAGAGAGUUAAACAGUACGUGAAAUUGUUAAAAGGGAACCGUUUGGAGCCAGACCGGCUUUACCGUAAUCAAUCUAGGUUUCGACCUGGAUGCACUUGCGGUAUGUGCCUGCCAACGACAGUUUUUUCUGAGGGAAAAAAUUAAGAGGAAUGUGGCCCCUCGGGGUGUUAUAGCCUUUUAAAAAAUACCUUGGAUUGGACUGAGGAACGCAGCGAAUGCCAUUAGGCAAGAUUGCUGGGCGCUUUAACUGAUAGAAGCUAGAAUUUCUGCCUUGGGUGGUGCUAGUUUCUAAAGGGUAAACUCGUUUAGUAUAUUUUUUAUUCGCUUAGGUUGUUGGCUUA